CCUACGGGGCGCAGCAGUGAGGAAUAUUGGUCAAUGGCCGGAAGGCUGAACCAGCCAUGCCGCGUGAAGGUCAGUGCCCUAUGGGCGUUAAACUUCUUUUGUGCGGGAGCAAUAAUGGUCACGUGUGGCCAGACGAGAGUACCGUACGAAUAAGCAUCGGCUAACUCCGUGCCAGCAGCCGCGGUAAUACGGGGGAUGCAAGCGUUAUCCGGAUUUAUUGGGUUUAAAGGGUGCGUAGGCUGUGAGGUAAGUCAGCGGUGAAAUGCCCCCGCUCAACGGGGUGAAGUGCCAUUGAUACUGCCUGGCUGGAAUGCGGAUGCCGUGGGAGGAAUGUGUGGUGUAGCGGUGAAAUGCAUAGAUAUCACACAGAACACCGAUUGCGAAGGCAUCUCACGAAUCCGCGAUUGACGCUGAUGCACGAAAGCGUGGGUAUCAAACAGGAUUAGAUACCCUAGUAGUC
rnacentral:rRNA from 1 species